CUAACACAUGCAAGUCGAACGAGAUCCUUCGGGGUCUAGUGGCGCACGGGUGCGUAACGCGUGGGAAUCUGCCCUUUGCUUCGGAAUAACAGUUAGAAAUGACUGCUAAUACCGGAUGAUGUCGCAAGACCAAAGAUUUAUCGGCAAGGGAUGAGCCCGCGUAGGAUUAGGUAGUUGGUGGGGUAAAGGCUCACCAAGCCGACGAUCCUUAGCUGGUCUGAGAGGCUGAUCAGCCACACUGGGACUGAGACACGGCCCAGACUCCUACGGGAGGCAGCAGUGGGGAAUAUUGGACAUGGGGCGAAAGCCUGAUCCAGCAAUGCCGCGUGAGUCGAUGAAGGCCUUACGGUUGUAAAGCUCUGUUACCAGGGACUGAUAAUGACAGCACCUGCAGAAUAAG
rnacentral:rRNA from 1 species